AAUGCUAUUACCCAGGGUUUCAAGCAUCCACUGGCGGGCUUGGAACCAAUCUGCCCGGAUAUGGGGGUCCUGCUGUGUU